CCUACGGGUGGCAGCAGUGAGGAAUAUUGGUCAAUGGCCGGAAGGCUGAACCAGCCAUGCCGCGUGAAGGUCAGUGCCCUAUGGGCGUUAAACUUCUUUUGUGCGGGAGCAAUAAUGGUCACGUGUGGCCAGACGAGAGUACCGUACGAAUAAGCAUCGGCUAACUCCGUGCCAGCAGCCGCGGUAAUACGGGGGAUGCAAGCGUUAUCCGGAUUUAUUGGGUUUAAAGGGGUGUAGGGCGGGAGGUAAGUCCCCGGUGAAAUGCCCCCGCUCAACGGGGUGAAAUGCCAUUGAUACUGCCUGGCUGGAAUGCGGAUGCCGUGGGAGGAAUGUGUGGUGUAGCGGUGAAAUGCAUAGAUAUCACACAGAACACCGAUUGCGAAGGCAUCUCACGAAUCCGCGAUUGACGCUGAUGCACGAAAGCGUGGGUAUCAAACAGGAUUAGAUACCCCAGUAGUC
rnacentral:rRNA from 1 species